UACAGAGGUCUCAAGCGUUGUUCGGAUUCAUUGGGCGUAAAGGGUGCGUAGGCGGCGCGGUAAGUCGGGUGUGAAAUCUCGGGGCUUAACUCCGAAACUGCAUUCGAUACUGCGGUGCUUGAGGACUGGAGAGGAGACUGGAAAUUUACGGUGUAGCAGUGAAAUGCGUAGAGAUCGUAAGGAAGACCAGUGGCGAAGGCGGGUCUCUGGACAGUUCCUGACACUGAGGCACGAAGGCCAGGGGAGCAAAACGGG
rnacentral:rRNA from 1 species